rnacentral:rRNA from 1 species
ACACAUGCAGUCGAGCGGAAACGUAUGGAGCUUGCUCCAGGCGUCGAGCGGCGGACGGGUGAGUAAUGCAUAGGAAUCUGCCCGGUAGUGGGGGAUAACCUGGGGAAACCCAGGCUAAUACCGCAUACGUCCUACGGGAGAAAGCAGGGGAUCUUCGGACCUUGCGCUAUCGGAUGAGCCUAUGUCGGAUUAGCUUGUUGGUGAGGUAAUGGCUCACCAAGGCGACGAUCCGUAGCUGGUCUGAGAGGAUGAUCAGCCACAUCGGGACUGAGACACGGCCCGAACUCCUACGGGAGGCAGCAGUGGGGAAUAUUGGACAAUGGGCGAAAGCCUGAUCCAGCCAUGCCGCGUGUGUGAAGAAGGCUUUCGGGUUGUAAAGCACUUUCAGUGAGGAAGAAGGCCUUGGGGCUAAUACCCCCGAGGAAGGACAUCACUCACAGAAGAAGCACCGGCUAACUCCGUGCCAGCAGCCGCGGUAAUACGGAGGGUGCGAGCGUUAAUCGGAAUUACUGGGCGUAAAGCGCGCGUAGGCGGCGUGAUAAGCCGGUUGUGAAAGCCCCGGGCUCAACCUGGGAACGGCAUCCGGAACUGUCAGGCUAGAGUGCAGGAGAGGAAGGUAGAAUUCCCGGUGUAGCGGUGAAAUGCGUAGAGAUCGGGAGGAAUACCAGUGGCGAAGGCGGCCUUCUGGACUGACACUGACGCUGAGGUGCGAAAGCGUGGGUAGCAAACAGGAUUAGAUACCCUGGUAGUCCACGCCGUAAACGAUGUCGACUAGCCGUUGGGGUCCUAGAGACCUUUGUGGCGCAGUUAACGCGAUAAGUCGACCGCCUGGGGAGUACGGCCGCAAGGUUAAAACUCAAAUGAAUUGACGGGGGCCCGCACAAGCGGUGGAGCAUGUGGUUUAAUUCGAUGCAACGCGAAGAACCUUACCUACCCUUGACAUCGUGCGAACUUGGUAGAGAUACCUUGGUGCCUUCGGGAACGCACAGACAGGUGCUGCAUGGCUGUCGUCAGCUCGUGUUGUGAAAUGUUGGGUUAAGUCCCGUAACGAGCGCAACCCUUGUCCCUAUUUGCCAGCGAUUCGGUCGGGAACUCUAGGGAGACUGCCGGUGACAAACCGGAGGAAGGUGGGGACGACGUCAAGUCAUCAUGGCCCUUACGGGUAGGGCUACACACGUGCUACAAUGGCCGGUACAAAGGGUUGCGAAGCCGCGAGGUGGAGCUAAUCCCGAAAAGCCGGUCUCAGUCCGGAUCGGAGUCUGCAACUCGACUCCGUGAAGUCGGAAUCGCUAGUAAUCGUGAAUCAGAAUGUCACGGUGAAUACGUUCCCGGGCCUUGUACACACCGCCCGUCACACCAUGGGAGUGGACUGCACCAGAAGUGGUUAGCCUAACUUCGGAGGGCGAUCACCACGG